GUACUCAAAAGUUUAACGAUAACUCAUUUACCUCACCAACGAUCUGGCUUACUUGAGGAUAUGUAAUGAAAUCUCUUUCUACUCCAAACGCAUCUCGAUUAAUAUAGAACCCAAAUUUAGGAUUCAUCAAAACUUCUCCCGUAUACUUUGCCACUGAGAUUGGGCCACCUGAAAAACCAUCCAUAACUUACAAUCAGGGUUUUUUCAAGCACAUCAGCACAAAAACAUAGUUUCAUUGACAACAUUAUGAAAUUUAGCAUCCAUUUCUGCCAAGAGUUUCAAAACCACAUGUAUCUAAGCUCCAACUACAGCAUUUCCUGAUAUUGUUAGAUCUUGAAACUGGGUCUUUAAUUUAGAGAGCGUUUGUUUGUUUACGUGAUAGUUGUCAUGUUCAGAUUGAACCAUAAAUUUUAUGUGUUUGGUUACCUACAAACCACACUAAUUAAUUACUAGGACCCAGAAUAACCUGCGUUCGAAUCACAGUCUAGGCAAAAGCAACUUUGACUUGCUUUUAUGAAUUGUUAGCUGAACAUAAAACGUGGCAAAACGCUUAUAUAAUUAUUUUAAUUUUAUCUUGUUGAAAAUAACCCUCUGUUCUUAUCCUCUCAUUGUUCUUUCGUUGCUCUCUCCACUGUUCUUCCCUCUCAUUCAACAAGUCCUCACACACUGUUGUUUGUAGCCGAUUGGGGAAUAAUUUCAACAGAUCAUUCAAAUUGGAAAAAGACUAUCCAUUUCCAACUCAAAUCCCCGUCCUAAACUCAAACCAUACACCUUGAUUUGCUGCCUUCUUCAAGUCUGUUCGCAGUGAUGAUGGUUCUUGAAAACCCAUAAAUGGUUGAAGACACACAGAAAUUAGGUUUGUGAUUUUCAAGAACUAAAGAUCUAACAUCUAUAUCUUGGAAAGAACAACAAACUCUCGAUCUGUGUUGAGGCACAUCCAACACUACAACACAAGCUCAAAUUGAUGGUGAUGUUCAAGGAACCUAAAAGGCCUUGAUAAUCUGUCUCCUGGAAAGCACAACAAACAUCUGAUCUCUGUUUCGGUACAUCCUACACUACAAGAGAGAUACGAGGAGCUAAAAAGUUUAGGCAUUCUGGUAUCGAUCUCGCAUUGUAUUGUAAAUAUGAUAUCAUGUUUAAAAAACAUCGUGGCUACCGGUUAGUAUGCUUGGGCUCCAUCAUAGGCUUUCAAUUCUUAUGAUGAUGAUGUACGUGAAAGGAGAAAAAAUGCAUCUAAUGAGGAUACACAUCUAGAGAAAGGUAGUGGUGAUUCGGAGGAGGAUACUUUACCAAAUUUUGUAAAGGAUGUCAAUAAUAUGGUUGCUGGUGUAAAUUUUACCAAUAGUAGUAGCAAUCUUAGUAGUAGUAGUGGGAAGAGAAAAGGUGUUCAACAAUGUACAUAAAAAAGUGGGCAAAAAAAAGGGUUCGGGAAUGGGAGCACCACUGUUUUCGCGUUUAGAUUGAUUAGUUGAUAGUGUAUCUACUAGGAGUGAAUGAACAUCAAGUGGUUGGGAUAAAAAAAAGGAUGUAGCAUAAAAGAGGUCAUGAAGGAGUUUCACUCCGUUGAGGAAGUGGUUUUCGGUAGUGAGCUUUAUUGUUUUGGAAUUGAGUUUUUCAUGGUUAGAAGCAAGAGGGAAAUGUGGGCAGCAAUUAGAGAUAAGAAAAGAAAAUUUCAAUGGUUGAAAUUAAUGUUCGAGAGGAGAUCAAACGUAAAACCUUGAUUAGCGGUGUUGGUAAUGGGAACAAUAUAGAUGAUGACGAUGACGACGACGAUGAUAAUGAAAAUAAACACGAUGAUGAUAAGGAAGGUGAUUUGUUUUGGCUUAGAGAGUGUGAUCGCAAUAAACUAUUGUUAUGCACGACUGGAGCACUUGCUUUGUAAUAUAAUAAUUAUAUUUAUAAGGAACAUGUAUGGUUUCAUACAACACAAGAAUGAGAUGGUUGAAUGAAAUUUUAAAUGGGCAUUAAGUACGUUGUGUUAA